rnacentral:rRNA from 1 species
AUAGCUCACUGGUCGAGUCGGCCCGCGCGGAAGAUGUAACGGGGCUAAACCAUGCACCGAAGCUGCGGCAGCGACACGUAGUGUUGUUGGGUAGGGGAGCGUUCUGUAAGCCUGCGAAGGUGUACUGUGAGGUAUGCUGGAGGUAUCAGAAGUGCGAAUGCUGACAUAAGUAACGAUAAUGCGGGUGAAAAACCCGCACGCCGGAAGACCAAGGGUUCCUGUCCAACGUUAAUCGGGGCAGGGUGAGUCGACCCCUAAGGCGAGGCUGAAAAGCGUAGUCGAUGGGAAACGGGUUAAUAUUCCCGUACUGGUGGUAACUGCGAUGGGGGAACGGAGAAGGCUAGGUUGUCCGGGCGACGGUCGUCCCGGUUCAAGCAGGUAGGCAGAGUGAUUAGGCAAAUCCGGUCACUUAAUGCUGAGAUGUGAUGACGAACCACCAAGGUGGUGAAGCAAUUGAUGCCCCGCUUCCAGGAAAAGCCUCUAAGCUUCAGGUUACCAACAAUCGUACCCCAAACCGACACAGGUGGUCAGGUAGAGAAUACUCAGGCGCUUGAGAGAACUCGGGUGAAGGAACUAGGCAAAAUGGUGCCGUAACUUCGGGAGAAGGCACGCUGGCGGUAGGUAAAGUCCCUCGCGGACGGCGC